GUUAAAAAGAACUUCGAAAUAUGACACGAAGGAAAAAUCUGCAAACGAUGCCAGGCCCUUGGCUGUCAAGUCUGGAAAGCAGCCAAGUGUAUCAGAUCAUGCAGUCAUUACCAAGGAUCCUGAAAGUCAGAAUGAGAGUACUUCAGGGAAGAAUGACCAAAUGGACGUUCCUCCUUUCUGUAGCACUGAAGAAGCGCCAGAGGGCUCAGUUUUA
rnacentral:misc_RNA from 1 species